rnacentral:rRNA from 1 species
GUUAGGAAUAUUGGACAAUGGGCGCAAGCCUGAUCCAGCCAUGCCGCGUGUGUGAAGAAGGUCUUCGGAUUGUAAAGCACUUUAAGUUGGGAGGAAGGGCAGUAAGUUAAUACCUUGCUGUUUUGACGUUACCGACAGAAUAAGCACCGGCUAACUUCGUGCCAGCAGCCGCGGUAAUACGAAGGGUGCAAGCGUUAAUCGGAAUUACUGGGCGUAAAGCGCGCGUAGGUGGUUUUGUAAGUUGGAGGUGAAAUCCCCGGGCUCAACCUGGGAACUGCCUCCAAAACUGCAUGACUAGAGUACGGUAGAGGGUAGUGGAAUUUCCUGUGUAGCGGUGAAAUGCGUAGAUAUAGGAAGGAACACCAGUGGCGAAGGCGACUACCUGGACUGAUACUGACACUGAGGUGCGAAAGCGUGGGGAGCAAACAGGAUUAGAUACCCUUGUAGUCC